UACAGAGGGUGCAAGCGUUAAUCGGAAUUACUGGGCGUAAAGGGCGCGUAGGUGGCUAUGUAAGUGAGAUGUGAAAUCCCUGGGCUCAACCUGGGAACUGCAUCUUAUACUGCGUAGCUGGAGUACAUGAGAGGGUAGUGGAAUUUCCGGUGUAGCGGUGAAAUGCGUAGAUAUCGGAAGGAACACCAGUGGCGAAGGCGGCUACCUGGCAUGAUACUGACACUGAGGCGCGAGAGCGUGGGGAGCAAACAGG
rnacentral:rRNA from 1 species